rnacentral:rRNA from 1 species
GAUGAACGCUGGCGGCGUGCCUAAUAUAUGCAAGUCGAGCGAACGGACGAUAAGCUUGCUUCUCUGAUGUUAGCGGCGCACGGGUGAGUAACACGUGGAUAACCUACCUAUAAGACUGGGAUAACUUCGGGAAACCGGAUCUAAUACCGUAUAAUAUUUUGAACCGCAUGGUUCAAAAGUGAAAGACGGUCUUUCUGUCACUUAUAGAUGGUUCCGCGCUGCAUUAGCUAGUUGUUAAGGUAACGGCCUACCAAGGCAACGAUGCAUAGCCGACCUGAGAGGGUGAUCGGCCACACUGGAACUGAGACACGGUCCAGACUCCUACGGGAGGCAGCCGUAGGGAAUCUUCCGCAAUGGGCGAAAGCCUGACGGAGCAACGCCGCGUGAGUGAUGAAGGUCUUCGGAUCGUAAAACUCUGUUAUUAGGGAAGAACAUAUGUGUAAGUAAAUGUGCACAUCUUGACGGUACCUAAUAAGAAAGCCACGGCUAACUACGUG